AUUGAGCGCUGGCGGCAGGCCUAACACAUGCAAGUCGAGCGGAUGAAGGGAGCUUGCUCCUGGAUUCAGCGGCGGACGGGUGAGUAAUGCCUAGGAAUCUGCCUGGUAGUGGGGAUAACGUCCGGAAACGGGCGCUAAUACCGCAUACGUCCUGAGGGAGAAAGUGGGGGAUCUUCGGACCUCACGCUAUCAGAUGAGCCUAGGUCGGAUUAGCUAGUUGGUGGGGUAAAGGCCUACCAAGGCGACGAUCCGUAACUGGUCUGAGAGGAUGAUCAGUCACACUGGAACUGAGACACGGUCCAGACUCCUACGGGAGGCAGCAGUGGGGAAUAUUGGACAAUGGGCGAAAGCCUGAUCCAGCCAUGCCGCGUGUGUGAAGAAGGUCUUCGGAUUGUAAAGCACUUUAAGUUGGGAGGAAGGGCAGUAAGUUAAUACCUUGCUGUUUUGACGUUACCAACAGAAUAAGCACCGGCUAACUUCGUG
rnacentral:rRNA from 1 species